rnacentral:rRNA from 1 species
UACGUAGGGGGCAAGCGUUGUCCGGAAUUAUUGGGCGUAAAGCGCGCGCAGGCGGUCCUUUAAGUCUGAUGUGAAAUCACGUGGCUCAACCACGUGCGGUCAUUGGAAACUGGAGGACUUGAGUGCAGAAGAGGAAAGUGGAAUUCCAAGUGUAGCGGUGAAAUGCGUAGAGAUUUGGAGGAACACCAGUGGCGAAGGCGACUUUCUGGUCUGUAACUGACGCUGAGGCGCGAAAGCGUGGGGAGCAAACAGG